AACCUGCCCUUUGCACUGGGAUAGCCUCGGGAAACCGAGGUUAAUACCGGAUACUCCAUAUUUGUCGCAUGGCGAAUAUGGGGAAAAGGCUCCGGCGGCAAAGGAUGGGCCCGCGGCCUGUUAGCUAGUUGGUGGGGUAGUGGCCUACCAAGGCAAUGAUGGGUAGCCGGGUUGAGAGACCGACCGGCCAGAUUGGGACUGAGACACGGCCCAGACUCCUACGGGAGGCAGCAGCG
rnacentral:rRNA from 1 species